rnacentral:lncRNA from 1 species
GACAAUUUCUAUAGUUUCUAUUAAGCAGAGCUUAGAAAGGAGAAGUGCUGAUGUUUCCCUUUAAAAGUUAAUGCUUAGGAAAUCUGGGGAUAAGUGUAUGAUCUCAGGGAACUUUUGAUACAAUUGGGAGUUCACUCACUGGAAUUAUUUUAAUCCAGUGACCGACUCUUAGAUUAAAUAUGCAGUAGCUGUGAUAGUCUCCCCUCUUAAUAUAUUAAAUGCUAUUUGGAUAAU